rnacentral:rRNA from 1 species
UGAUCAUAUGCUUGUCUCAAAGAUUAAGCCAUGCAUGUCUAAGUGCAAGCUCCCACCCCGAGCGAAACUGCGGAUGGCUCAUUAAAUCAGUUGUGGUUCAUGGGAUCGAGUCCCAACCCCUUAGAUGGAUAACUGUGGUAAUUCUAGAGCUAAUACAUGCAACAAAGCGCCGACUAUCGCUCCCUGUUCCACCCCUCGACCCUUCACGGGGGAGAGACGGCGGGAUUUGGAGUGAGGGAGGCGUGCUUUUAUUAGAAAAACACCAGACCAACCCGGCUAACUCACGGCAGCCGGCGUUCAACCGGUGGUGAACUCUGGAUGACACAGCCGAUCGCACGGUCCUCGCGCCGGCGACGGGUCCUUCGAGUGUCUGCCCUAUCAACUUUCGAUGGUAGGUUAUGCGCCUACCAUGGUGGUGACGGGUAACGGAGAAUCAGGGUUCGAUUCCGGAGAGGGAGCCUGAGAAACGGCUACCACAUCCAAGGAAGGCAGCAGGCGCGCAAUUUACCCACUCCCGAUUCGGGGAGGUAGUGACGAAAAAUAACAAUACAGGACUCUUUGGAGUCCCUGUAAUUGGAAUGAGUACACUUUAAAUCCUUUAACGAGGAUCCACUGGAGGGCAAGCCUGGUGCCAGCAGCCGCGGUAAUUCCAGCUCCAGUAGCGUAUAUCAAAGCUGCUGCAGUUAAAAAGCUCGUAGUUGGAUCUCGGGUCCAGGUGGGGCGGUCCGCCGCGAAGGCGGCGAACCACACCGCCCCAUCUGGCCUUCCGAGUGUAGCGUCUCGCCCGGUGCCCUUGACUGGGUCUCGCCGGGACGGGAAGACACGAUACGUUUACUUUGAAAAAAUUGGAGUGUUCAAGGCAGGCUUUGCGACGCCUGAACGAUGAAGCAUGGAAUAAUGGAAUAGGACCUCGGUUCCUGUUGCGUUGGUUUGUCGGAACGUCGAGGUAAUGAUUGAGAGGGACUGACGGGGGCAUUCGUAUUGCGGCGUGAGAGGUGAAAUUCAUGGAUCGCCGCAAGACGCACGACUGCGAAAGCAUUUGCCAAGAAUGUUUUCAUUAAUCAAGAACGAAAGUCAGAGGUUCGAAGGCGAUCAGAUACCGCCCUAGUUCUGACCAUAAACGAUGCCGACUGACGAUCCGCCGUCGUUCAAAAAAUAUUAAGCAGACGCGGCGGGCAGUCUGAAGGGAAACCAAAGUCUUUGGGUUCCGGGGGAAGUAUGGUUGCAAAGCUGAAACUUAAAGGAAUUGACGGAAGGGCACCACCAGGAGUGGAGCCUGCGGCUUAAUUUGACUCAACACGGGAAAACUUACCCGGCCCGGACACGGUGAGGAUUGACAGAUUGAGAGCUCUUUCACGAUUCUGUGGGUGGUGGUGCAUGGCCGUUCUUAGUUGGUGGAGCGAUUUGUCUGGUUAAUUCCGAUAACGAACGAGACUCUGGCUUGCUAAUCAGUCGCGACGCCCGUCGCGGUGGACGAAAUAAAUCGACUUCUUAGAGGGACAAGUGGCGUUACAGCCACGCUAGAAAGAGCGAUAACAGGUCUGUGAUGCCCUUUGAUGUUCGGGGCCGCACGCGCGCUACACUGAAGGAACCAGCGGGUACCGAACCGUCUCGCCCUUGGCCGGAAGGUCCGGGUAACCCGCUGAACCUCCUCCGUGAUGGGGAUAGGGAAUUGCAAUUGUUUCCCUUGAACGUGGAAUUCCAAGUAAGCGCGAGUCAUCAGCUCGCGUUGACUGCGUCCCUGCCCUUUGUACACACCGCCCGUCGCUACUACCGAUCGAAUGGCUUAGUGAGAUCCUCGGAUCGUGGAAAGGGCGCGGGCUGGGGCCCUUUGGGCUCUGCCCCGUAGCCGUCACGAGAAGAAUAUCGAACUUGAUCAUUUAGAGGAAGUAAAAGUCGUAACAAGGUUUCCGU